rnacentral:rRNA from 1 species
GACGAACGCUGGCGGCGUGCCUAAUACAUGCAAGUAGAACGCUGAAGGAGGAGCUUGCUUCUCUGGAUGAGUUGCGAACGGGUGAGUAACGCGUAGGUAACCUGCCUGGUAGCGGGGGAUAACUAUUGGAAACGAUAGCUAAUACCGCAUAAUAGUAGAUGUUGCAUGACAUUUGCUUAAAAGGUGCAAUUGCAUCACUACCAGAUGGACCUGCGUUGUAUUAGCUAGUUGGUGAGGUAACGGCUCACCAAGGCAACGAUACAUAGCCGACCUGAGAGGGGGAUCGGCCACACUGGGACUGAGACACGGCCCAGACGCCUACGGGAGGCAGCAGUAGGGAAUCUUCGGCAAUGGACGGAAGUCUGACCGAGCAACGCCGCGUGAGUGAAGAAGGUUUUCGGAUCGUAAAGCUCGGUUGUAAGAGAAGAACGAGUGUGAGAGUGGAAAGUUCACACUGUGACGGUAUCUUACCAGAAAGGGACGGCUAACUACGUG